rnacentral:lncRNA from 1 species
ACAGUGUGACGUCCAGCACUGUUUUCUGCUCAGCUGCGAGGGAACCUCCCCAAGCCUCCCCACCACCCUUUUCCUAAGCAGAUGUGGGGGCCUUGGAGGUCAAGAAGAGCUAGUGGGGGCCCUGUUCUUGGCUGUCGUUUCAAGCGGCUUCUCCAAGGGGUUGACAGAGCCCUGGGCCCACGUGGACGGAUGAUGAUGACAAAUGACCCGCGGGGGGAGACAGUGGCACACGGGGACCAGCGGAGUGAGCCGGCCUCGGCUAUCUUGUUGAGCGCCUGGGAAUGGAAUUGGAACAGGAACCCCGGUAAGUGACUGGAAUGAGGGCCUGACCGAUGGGAAUGAACCAGAGACACCGGCAUGAUGUGAAAAUGACUGAGAGAGGCGCCCUGCCACGCUGGUUUUAUAGUUUGGCAUCACAGCGAGAAAAACAACAAAACCCAUCUUGCGUGUGGUGAAGGGCGGCUCAGGCAGCAAGAGGGUGCGUAAAUUCCAAAACAACUGCGAGAAGACCAGAGGCGCCGGAGCUCUGGGGAUUCGGAGUCAUUUUCAGAAAUAAGGCGGGUCGCAAGGUCCAUGCCUGUAAUCCCACCACUUUGGGAGGCCAAGGCGGGAGGAUGACCUGAGCCAGGGAGGUUGCAGUGAACCCAGAUCACGCCACUGCACUCCAGCCUGGGUGACACAGCGAGACCCUGUCUCAAAAAAAAAAAAAAAGAAGAAGCAAGAAAGAAGCACACAGCUGGGGAUGUUUUGAUGAAGACUCUGCUCUCCUGGGCCCCAGAACACCCCGAAGUAGGCUGCAGGAGCCGGAAGCCCCGGCACCUGAAGAUGCGAAGCUGGGCUGGGAGUUGCUCGCUGGCAAGACAGGACUUGGGACACGCACCUGCUCUGCCCGUCCAACCUCACCCCGACCACCCAGGAGGGGAAGCGUCGUGGAGGCCACUUCGCAGGUGGGAAGAUCAAGGCCCGGGGCCAUGUGCGAUGCCCCCCAUCCAAGGUGCAGCCCAGGAAGGCAGAACAAACCGCAGCUCCAGCCCUGCCCCCACCCACUAGCCAGGGGCCUGCAGCUCCUGACUCAGCUUUCCCCAUCAAAUGGGGGCUCGUCCUGCCCCACCCAGGUGGGAGACCCGAGCUUCCAGGCUCAUGGGAGUGCGUGCGUGCAUCUCGCGUCCCAGUCAUGCGGGUAGCAGGCAUGCGUGGGCAGGGCCAGAGCUGGGUGACAAGCCGUGUCACAACACCCUCAGGCUCCCGAAUGGGACUUUUCAGGGGUGAGGGCCCAAAGAAGGGAGGGGGAGGCAGGGGCUGCAUCACUCGUGAAGGGGCAUCAGGACCCCCAGCCCACGCGUGGUCCCACGUCUGAAGUCCACCGGACCAGGAGAUUGGUCCAGGCUCACACCCACUGAGAUGGCAGGAGGCAGGGGUGGCACGUGGACAGACAUGGGUCCCAGAAUCCAGGCAGGGGAAAGGUGGAGGGUGUGGUCUGUUCUAGCUGUACCCGGGC